UUAUGAACUAAAUUACCCUCUCUCCAAAGACUAUUGUCAAAAUCGCUUAACUCACGCAUCGCCCAUCAUCGCUCGUUAUCUCGAAAUUUCUUUCUACAGCCUCAUCAUCACAAUCUCACCAUCACAGCCCCUAUUUGCACAACCUCCGUCAGCAAAAGGUUGUACAUUGUCAACAGCAUUAGGAUUCGACCUAAAGGUAUGCCUCCCUUACACUUUUACAGUAAGUUUUAAUUGAUUGGUGGAUUAUUAGUGAUAGAAAAACACAUUAUGAUAUGUAUUGGCAUGAACAAUUCAAAUAUUUUUAAAAAUUAAUGUUUGUAAAAUAUAAGCACAUUAUGUGUUCGUUAAAAUGUCUCUAAGAAAAAAAUUUCAUUUAUCUCAAUAAAUUUGCUAAACUAGUUCCUAGUAAUCCACUCUUUAAUACCAAAGCUACUUACUAGUAUGAAGUUUACAUUUAUUUCAUAAGUUUUUUUUAAAUUUUUUAAAUUUUUUUUAUUUAUGUUGGGUUUAGGCACCCAUCGCCCACAACAUGGCCGGGCACUGGGAGCCAUCGCUUGCAAAUGUUGCGGGAGAUGGGAGCCAUCGCCACCUUCGCCCGCGCCUCUUGCUGGUAUCGCCCGCGAGAAGUGGGGGCGAAGGGUGCCAUUGACUGGGCGAUGCAUGCCUUCGCCCGCAAUCAACCUUCGCCCGUACUUCCGGCCGGUAUCGCCCACGAGAAGUGCGAGCAAAGGUUUCCAUUGACCGGGCAAUGCAUGCCUUCGCCCGCACUAAGCCCACAAGAAGGGCGGGCGAUGGCAACCAUCGCCCUCGAUCAGAUUUUCUUCUACAAGUCAUAGAAAUACAUAAUUUAUUAGACUUUUUUCUAAUUUUGGGAUUCACACAAGCAAAUAUCUACUCACAUUUUAAUAAAAAUUAAUAAAGAUAUCUAUUUCUUCAAAUUUCUACAAAACCCAUAGAUAAAACUUAAUUAAUCUUACAAUCUAAAUUUCAAAAAACACUAACCUUAAUGAGCUUUUUUUUGUUUUGUUUUUGGCUUGAUUGAUUUUGUCUUCAGUGCUAAUUAAAAAUUGUUGUUUGAUGCAUAUGAAAUCGGAGUAGUUUUGUGUUUACUUGUAAGAGGGAGUUUGAGAAGUGAAAUAAGAGUAGUUUUCUAGA
rnacentral:lncRNA from 1 species